rnacentral:pre_miRNA from 1 species
GAUCUACUCCCUCCGUUCUAAAUUACUCGUCACAGAAAUGGAUGUAUCUAGAUGUAUUUUAGUUCUAGAUACAUUCAUUUCUGCGACGAGUAAUUUAGAACGGAGGGAGUAGUUU